rnacentral:rRNA from 1 species
UGAGGAAUUUUCCGCAAUGGGCGAAAGCCUGACGGAGCAAUGCCGCGUGAAGGAAGACAGCUUACGGGUUGUAAACUUCUUUUCUCAGAAAAGAAAAAAAUGACGGUAUCUGAGGAAUAAGCAUCGGCUAACUCUGUGCCAGCAGCCGCGGUAAGACAGAGGAUGCAAGCGUUAUCCGAAAUGAUUGGGCGUAAAGCGUCUGUAGGUGGUUUAAAAAGUACAUUGUUAAAUUUUAAGGCUUAACCUUAGCAAAGCAAGGUAAACUUUUAAACUAGAGUUUGGUAGAGGCAGAGGGAAUUUCCGGUGGAGCGGUGAAAUGCGGAGAGAUCGGGAGGAACACCAAAGGCGAAAGCACUUUGCUGGGCCAUUACUGACACUAAGAGACGAAAGCAAGGGGAGCAAAUG